rnacentral:rRNA from 1 species
UUUACGGAGAGUUUGAUCCUGGCUCAGGACGAACGCUGGCGGCGUGCUUAACACAUGCAAGUCGAACGAUGAAGCCCAGCUUGCUGGGUGGAUUAGUGGCGAACGGGUGAGUAACACGUGAGUAACCUGCCCUUGACUCUGGGAUAAGCGCUGGAAACGGCGUCUAAUACCGGAUACGACCUGCCCCGGCAUCGGGUGCGGGUGGAAAGUUUUUCGGUCAAGGAUGGACUCGCGGCCUAUCAGCUUGUUGGUGAGGUAAUGGCUCACCAAGGCGACGACGGGUAGCCGGCCUGAGAGGGUGACCGGCCACACUGGGACUGAGACACGGCCCAGACUCCUACGGGAGGCAGCAGUGGGGAAUAUUGCACAAUGGGCGAAAGCCUGAUGCAGCAACGCCGCGUGGGGGAUGACGGCCUUCGGGUUGUAAACCUCUUUUAGUAGGGAAGAAGGACUUCGGUUUGACGGUACCUGCAGAAAAAGCACCGGCUAACUACGUGCCAGCAGCCGCGGUAAUACGUAGGGUGCAAGCGUUGUCCGGAAUUAUUGGGCGUAAAGAGCUCGUAGGCGGUUUGUCGCGUCUGCUGUGAAAACCCGAGGCUCAACCUCGGGCCUGCAGUGGGUACGGGCAGACUAGAGUGCGGUAGGGGAGAAUGGAAUUCCUGGUGUAGCGGUGGAAUGCGCAGAUAUCAGGAGGAACACCGAUGGCGAAGGCAGUUCUCUGGGCCGUAACUGACGCUGAGGAGCGAAAGCAUGGGGAGCGAACAGGAUUAGAUACCCUGGUAGUCCAUGCCGUAAACGUUGGGCGCUAGAUGUGGGGACCUUUCCACGGUUUCCGUGUCGCAGCUAACGCAUUAAGCGCCCCGCCUGGGGAGUACGGCCGCAAGGCUAAAACUCAAAGGAAUUGACGGGGGCCCGCACAAGCGGCGGAGCAUGCGGAUUAAUUCGAUGCAACGCGAAGAACCUUACCAAGGCUUGACAUAUACCGGAAACUUCCAGAAAUGGUUGCCCCGCAAGGUCGGUAUACAGGUGGUGCAUGGUUGUCGUCAGCUCGUGUCGUGAGAUGUUGGGUUAAGUCCCGCAACGAGCGCAACCCUCGUUCUAUGUUGCCAGCACGUCAUGGUGGGAACUCAUAGGAGACUGCCGGGGUCAACUCGGAGGAAGGUGGGGAUGACGUCAAAUCAUCAUGCCCCUUAUGUCUUGGGCUUCACGCAUGCUACAAUGGCCGGUACAAAGGGCUGCGAUACCGCAAGGUGGAGCGAAUCCCAAAAAGCCGGUCUCAGUUCGGAUUGAGGUCUGCAACUCGACCUCAUGAAGUCGGAGUCGCUAGUAAUCGCAGAUCAGCAACGCUGCGGUGAAUACGUUCCCGGGCCUUGUACACACCGCCCGUCAAGUCAUGAAAGUCGGUAACACCCGAAGCCAGUGGCCUAACCGCAAGGAGGGAGCUGUCGAAGGUGGGAUCGGUGAUUAGGACUAAGUCGUAACAAGGUAGCCGUACCGGAAGGUGCGGCUGGAUCACCUCCUUUCUAAGGA